UUUCCAAUUUACGUCUUUCCUGUACUUCAGAAACUCAUUUUCAGUUAAGUAUCUCUUAUUAGGAAGCCUAGAAAUAAGGGUAUUCAAACAAUUAUCUUGAACAGCAACCAAUUGUUGUAAUUUCCACUAAUUACUCCAAAACAUUCAGGAUCUGCCACAUGAAGGGAGAGGCAGUUUUGCUGUCAGGAAUCUGUUUUGAACCAUUCUUUACUAAAACAGGUUUGAACAUAUAAGGCAAGCAAAUUCUUAGAAGAUCCAGACAUCAUUUAAAAUUUCUGCCUUGACUCUUUUCUAUUUUUCUCUUAAUUACUGAAAAGCUGAAAGGAGAAAUACAACUGUUUCUCUUCUGAACAAAUUAAUUGUAAAAAAAUUGACUUUAAAUCACUCUUCCAUUUUCUCAUCAAUAUAUUGAAUAACAAGCUCUUCAGCAGAUCCUACACUUACGUUUAAGGCUUUUCAUGUUAAUUAGUUAAAAUUGUGAGAAGAAAAGUAAUGACAAAUAGCAACUUUGCUAAGGCAUCAGAAGCUAGUGUUGUCAAAGAUAACUUUUAUGUCAAAGAUAACUUUAAAGUAAGUACUAACUUUGUAUUUAGAGAGUCUUGGACAAAAUUAUAACAAAAUACAAAUCAAAAGUGUUAUGUCUUCAUCAAUGGCUGCCAUCUUCUCCAGCAAAGGCAAGUGAAAAAGUGAUUCCUCUUUCUCCCCCGUGUGGCAGGAUAUGUUUUAAAAGCACAUUGAAAUUCUCCCCCAGUUUAUCUAAAAUCCUUAAAGAAAAACAACACAAGUUUUGAGCCACAGAAAGAAUUUCCGGCAUCAAUUUUGUUUCGAAACAGGAUGUUCCUGGAAUAUUCAAAUUUCAAGAACAAAUGUUAAGGAAAGUUAGGAGAGAAAAAAAAAAAACCAGUUACCUUAACUAAAUGUGGUCUCACUAGGGUAACAACUGAUGUGUAGUUCUCUACUACAGGAGGGAAUCCUAUUUCCAGCUGUGCUUUGCAGUACCCAGAGCGCUUCGAGAGUAUGUCUGACUUUUUACACCAAGGAACAAACAGUUUGUAAUUCUCCACAACAGCAACAACUUCAUACAUUUCUUGCAUAGAAUACCUGGAAACAGAAAUAGGAGCGUUACAGUUACAAGAAAGAAGAAAAUCUUGAGAACUACAAUAUAACGUACGAGCAAACAUUAGCAUGGAUUUGGGACAGGAUGAAACAGAGUUUUCACACCUUGGUUUAUUCAUAUUUUACCACAUGAAAUUAUCAGUAUAUCACUCCCUUUCAAGUGGUGCAGCAAUGUUGAAGAAAUUCCUUGAAAAAGUCUGGCUCGUUACAGGUACUUGCAAAGGAGAAGUUCUGGUCAUCAGAACACCACAAGAAGCCAAGUGCCUGAAAGAGUGAAAAUGCUUUUAGAUGUGUUUCAUAUCAGCAAAAUAAGUAACAGCACAUUCAAGUGGGACAAACAACCUGUUGUAAAACAUUCCAGAAAAUGUCUGUCAGAUGGAAAAGCAAAGGCUCAUAACAGUGCACAAACUGUCAAACAUUUCCUUAAGAGAAAAUAAAAUUAGCCCCCAGUCAUGACAAAAGUAACUGGCAGAGUGAAACACAAAGGCCCUCAUUAAACACUUGGACACAUGGCAGCCUGAGUUCAUGUACAAGUCUCAUAUGCACUUCAUUUGCAGAACAGGUUUUCCUAACAGCAAAAUCAAGGUUUGCAAUAAUUAUCCCUUUCAGAAUACACAAAGUGGAGAAGAUUUCACUUGGAGGUACAAAGCUGAACUCUGGUGCCAUCCUUCUCUUAAAAGGACAGUUUAAUUUUGAAAGUCCAUUCAGAAGGUGCAUUGUUACCCAGCUUUCCAAAUUUCCUUUGGAAAAUAUAAUCAAAACCUUGGACACAGUGUUUUCAUAAAUAAAACUUAAUUACCUGUAA